UGCACUUGCGUAUGUGCGAUGAUUAUAAAUGUGAAUAAAGUCUAAAGUUUAAAUUAUAUAAAACGAUCGCUUCAGAGGACUUGGAGGAAACCACUUGAUUCAUAUAUAUUACUUAUUAAAGUUAACAGUGUUGGUGUUUUGCCUUUCAUCGGAGGGAAGGUCUGUCUUUCGAAGUGGAGCUACAUUCAAUUUGACCAAACGGAGCAAAUUAAGUCGUUGCAGACACGAGCAGAUGAAGAUGCUGACCACAGAUGUUGUUAAUGGCAAUUCUCCCGUAAAAGCACGCCCAUGGCAAAGCAAAAGAAAUAGCCGCCCACGUGCCAACCGACGAGCGAUAGGAAGACCCGUUUAUCAAGAAUGGCUGCGCUGUGGGCCUGCAGCUGCAGCUCGUUACUCCUGUGAUAGUAAGAGAAGUUGUGUGUUUAUUUGUUCACGGCAUUUCAGUGAUGGAUGUUAUAUAGAUGGUGGAUAUAACGCUGGAUUUGGAGAUCGUUUGAAACUGAUAGAUGGCGCGGUCCCAGUGCUAAAAGAUACCAAACAUGAACUGCACGCGAUCCUGUGAUGAAGCAGUCUUUAAAUACUACAGGGUCUCAAUUGCAAGUCUUUCAUACUCAAAGAAUUGACCCUCCACUUGAAGCUGAAGAUCUCUUUAACUGUUCUGUUUCUUCAUAUGGGUCUAUUUGGUUAACCUGUUCUGUCUCUUACAUUUGCAGGCUAAUAUUUGC